rnacentral:rRNA from 1 species
UCUGGUUGAUCCUGCCAGUAGUCAUAUGUUUGUCUCAGAGAUUAAGCCAUGCAUGUCUAAGUACAUACUUUGAAACGGUGAAACCGCGAAUGGCUCAUUAAAUCAGCUAUGGUUCCUUGGAUUGUACAUAGUACAUGGAUAACUGUAGUAAUUCCAGAGCUAAUACAUGCCACCAUGCCCUGACCGGCGAAGGAGCGGGUAGAUUUAUUAGAACAGAACCAACCGGGGGCGGCUUCGGUCGUGCCUGUUGCAUUCUCUGAUGACUCUGGAUAACUUCACUGAUCGCAGUCGGCCAUGUGUCGCGACGGAACUUUUAAAUGUAUGCCCUAUCAAAUUUUGAUGAUGGGUGACUUCCCUACCAUGGCACUAACGGGUAACAAGGAAUCAGGGUUCGGUUCCGGAGAGGGAGCCUGAGAAACGGCUACCACUUCCAAGGAAGGCAGCAGGCACGCAAAUUGCUUAAUCCCGGCACGCGGAGGUAGUGACGAAAAAUGCGGAUACGGGCUCACUAGAUGCUCCGUAAUUCGAAUUAGUGCAAUUUAAAUACUUUAACGAGGAUCAACUGGAAGGCAAGUCUGGUGCCAGCAGCAGCGGUAACUCUAGCUCCAGGAGCGUAUAUUAAAUCUGUUGCAGUUAAAAAGCUCAUAGUUGGAUCUGGGUAGCAUGGCUACAUGCCGUCGCUCGUUGGUCUGGUCUGGUUACUGCCGGGUUGAGCUUGCGGGUCGAUCUCGUGGUUGUGCUCCCUUUCUGCUGUGUCUGUUUACAGGUGUCAACGUGACUGGUAGGCUUGCUUGCAAGUCCGUUGGCAUGCUUCUUGGCGCCAUUAAUCGUGUGUCGGAGGUAGACAGCACGUUUCCGUUGAACAAAUUUGCGUGCUCAUAGCAGGCCUUUGUGUCUGAAAAUUCUUGCAUCGAAUACUGGAAUAGGACUUCGGUUCUAUUUUGUUGGUUUUCGGAUCCGAAGUAAUGGUUGAGAGGGACAGACGGGGGCAUUUGUUUGGCGGUGUUUAAGGGAAAAUUUUUGGAUCGCCGCCAGACAAACUACAGCGAAAGCAUUUGCCAAGGAUGUUCCCAUUGAUAUUGAGCGAAAGUCAGAGGUUCGAAGACGAUCAGAUACCGUCCUCGUUCUGACCAUAAACGAUGCCAACUGACGAUCCGUGGUGGUUCUUUAUGUGUCCCCGGGAAACCCUGAAGUCUUUGGGCUCCGGGCGAAAAAUGGUUGCAUGGCUGAAACUUACAGGAAUUGACGGAAGGGCACCAACAGGAGUGGAGCCUGCGGCUUAAUUCGACUCAACACGGGAAAUCUCACCCGGCCCGGGCACUGUGAGGAUUGACAGAUUGAUAGCUCUUUCUUGAUUCGGUGUUUGGUGGUGCUUGGCGGUUUUUAGUUGGUGGAGCGAUUUGUCUGGUUAAUUCCGAUAACGAACGAGACCCUGGCCUGCUAAAUAAUAUGCCUGUCCUCUGUGCUUGUGCAGGUUGCGUUGUCCAUUACCUCCUCGUUGGGUAGCGGCUACAUUGACCUGCGGGUGCGGCGAAGGUACUUACUUCUUAGAGGGACAAGCGGUAUUCAGCCCCAAAAAUUGAGCAAUAACAGGUCUGUGAUGCACUUAGAUGUCCGGGGCCGCACGUGCGCUACGAUGACGGUUUCAGCGAGUUUGGACUUCUGGCCUGAGAACGUUGGGUUAACUGUAUCAUAACCGUCGUGACUGGGAUCGGGGUUUGCAAUUGUUCCCCGUGAACGAGGAAUUCCCGUUAAGUGCAAGUCAUAAGCUUGCUCUGAUUACGUCCCUGCCCUUUGUACAUACCGCCCGUCGCUACUACCGAUUGAUUGGUUUAGCAAGGUCCUCGGAUUGGUGCCAUUGGAGUGGCUUCGGCCGCUCGACCGGUGCUGAGAAGACGACCAAACUUGAUCAUUUAGAGGGAGUGAAAGUCGUAACAAGAUUCCCGUAGGUGAACCUAAGGAAG